AGCUAGAAGUUUACAAUUGGGCAUUGGAAGUACGAGAGGCCUGUUUUACCUCCAAAGUGAGAUGUAAAUUGUCAGUUUGACUUUUAGGUCUUCAUGUUGAGGUUAGAUAUGUGGAAUGCAAAGACAGAUGUGGAAGUCAUCAGCAUACAGGUGGUCUGGAUGACCAGAGACGGGACGAGGCAGCCUAGGGGUGAGUGUGGAUUAUAAAGAGAUCGAUCUAAGGGCUGAGUCCAGAAGCACUGCUCACGUUUAGAGAUCAAGAAGCUGAGUAAGAAACAGCAGAAGACACCGAGAGGAAGUGGCUAGAAAGGUGUGAUUCUCCCUGAGAAGACAUCCUCAGACUGACAGCCCGUCAUUUCUUGGAACUCUGACACCACUCGGGGAGAUUCCAUCACCUCAGAAAUUUCCAAUGAGCAACAGAAAAGGGGCAAGAAGAUUUUCCAGAAGCCAAUGUAUGAAUUUGAGAAUAACGUGAAGCAAUACUUUUGCUAAUGAAAAAUGUCAUUGCGAGGACCUGCUUUGUGGCAUUCAAUUUUAUCACCAAGAGGUCGUUCAUGACUGCGAGGAGUUGGAAAGAGGAUGAGGAGCCACUGAGGUGAUGGAAAUGGAGCAAAGCAGCAACAUAGUCUGUUUCUCACUUUUGUUCAAUUUUCUGGAACCCCUCAGGUGACACCCCAUCACUUCUUCUGGCUGAGCUCUUUUACACAGGACUAAAUUGUAUCGUUCCCUAGUAUCUGGAGGUAAACCAAUUUCUCUUAAAAUCCUUCAGUUAUGCAUUUCAGGGAUGCCUUUUCUGAUUGUCACUGUGACAUUUUACAUGGAAUGGCCUAUCUAAUCAGGAGGAUCUCCCAGAUGAGCUUUUCUUCUGUUAAUCAAAAGCGUGUUUUACCUUCAUGCUAUCAACAGUAAUCUCUUUGAAAGACAUUGAGUUGCAGGAUUUGCAAGGCAUGUUUGAAAUUCAUAUCCUUUCAGUUACACCAUUCACUGAGUUAAUCUUUGGAUAGGGUGAAAUGUCACCGAUUUCACCAGAGGAUUUCUCAAUCUCUUUCAUUUGUUUCAGCCCAACAGUUUUCCUCCUCACUGGGGUAAAUGAUCACUAUGUCUUGCAGUAAAAUUCUUUGGCUCUACUGGACUGGAAAGCUUUGAUUACUAUUUGCGCUUCUGGUUCAUGUUUCCUUUGACAUUAUUCUUUUAUAUUUUCUGAAGUAAUUGGAAAAUAUUGCAUGAAGGUGCUAUUCUUUUGCAAUAGAAAGAACAUAGGACAAGGUAUCUGGAGAUCUGGAAUGUGGGCCCAAUGGAAAAAUACCCUCGUUAUGUUUCAGUUUAAGUUGGAGUUACAUUACCUUCUCUACUACCAGUGUGGUGUAGAUUACACGAGGCAAUUCCGUCUCAGACUUAGAAGAGCCUGAAAGGAUACUUUAUUGCAAUCGCUACAGGAAGAUCCCAUUCAAUGCAUAUUUCUUUAGUGGUUGUUUGCUUUUCCUUGAACAUCUUCAGACAUAAAAAUUUCCAUUCAGUUAAUGAAAAGGAAUGAUUGUUAAUUACUCAUUAUUUUGAAGGUGAAGAAACUCAACCCAAGAUUGCUCCCCAUAAUGCACUUGGAAAUUUUUUGAGAAGCCAACCAGUGUAACAAAACAUUGUUUUCAUCAAUUGAAGGUCAUCACAGGUGGUGGUGAUCUAGGAAAGAUCUGAGGGCCUCUUUUCCAAGAGAAAGAUUCACUCUCCACCAUUUAUGAAAUCAGGACUCACCAGCA